CUUCCUGGGGGGAGGGGAGAACAAUACCGCCCGAAAAGCCAGAAGGGGGACUGGGGGGCGGGGAUACUUGGGCCGGGCGAAGCGUGUUCGUGGAAGGUAAAGUCCCAGGUAGUGGUGGUGGGCAUCUCGUCCGUUUAGUCGAUCGAUCCGCAGACGUCCCGCCUGCGACCUGCACGCUGCAGCGCGGAAGCAGGAAACGCCCACCGUCGGGAGACGCACCCCGGUCGCGCGGCCUGGCCGGCCGGCGUCCCACCCAAACCUCUCCUGGUGUCCCUGCGCGCCGUUCGCGGUCCGCGGCUCGGGCCCCGCGCGCCUCAGCGGCUCUUGGCGGGGUCGGACGCGGGCCGCGCGGGGCCUCCUGGCCUGGCACCGCCCCCCACCCCCAGCCCAGCCCCGGCCGCCGCACGCUGUCCAACGCGGCGAGCUCCGUAGGAGCCACAGCCCAUUCCUGAUAAGGAAACAGAUUGUGAGAAGCAGUGUGUCCACCAGCUGAGAGGACCAGAACCCAGGCAGCCUGACGCCAGAGGCCACCCUGGAAGCCUCUCUGUGCACUGUCCUGUGGAGGCAGGAGCUGACUUUGGUCCGGGGACCCUCCAGGCUCGCCUCGUAUCACAUUAAGAAGACAGGGAGGGGCCUUCCUUCAUCCCUGCUGUUGUGUCAACUACAAUAAACCGAAACCCUGGUUAAACAUGGUAACUGUCA